UACGAAGGGGGCUAGCGUUGCUCGGAAUCACUGGGCGUAAAGCGCACGUAGGCGGAUCUUUAAGUCAGGGGGGAAAUCCUGGAGCUCAACUCCAGAACUGCCUUUGAUACUGGGGAUCUCGAGUCCGGGAGAGGUGAGUGGAACUGCGAGUGUAGAGGUGAAAUUCGUAGAUAUUCGCAAGAACACCAGUGGCGAAGGCGGCUCACUGGCCCGGUACUGACGCUGAGGUGCGAAAGCGUGGGGAGCAAACAGG
rnacentral:rRNA from 1 species